rnacentral:rRNA from 1 species
GAUGAACGCUGACAGAAUGCUUAACACAUGCAAGUCAACUUGAAUUUGGGUUUUUACCUUAGGUUUGGGUGGCGGACGGGUGAGUAACGCGUAAAGAACUUGCCUCACAGCUAGGGACAACAUUUGUAAACGAAUGCUAAUACCUAAUAUUAUGAUAAUAGGGCAUCCUAUAAUUAUGAAAGCUAUAAGCGCUGUGAGAGAGCUUUGCGUCCCAUUAGCUAGUUGGAGAGGUAACGGCUCACCAAGGCGAUGAUGGGUAGCCGGCCUGAGAGGGUGAUCGGCCACAGGGGGACUGAGACACGGCCCUUACUCAUACGGGAGGCAGCAGUGGGGAAUAUUGGACAAUGGACCGAGAGUCUGAUCCAGCAAUUCUGUGUGCACGAUGAAGUUUUUCGGAAUGUAAAGUGCUUUCAGUUGGGAAGAAACAAAUGACGGUACCAACAGAAGAAGUGACGGCUAAAUACGUG